rnacentral:tRNA from 1 species
GCCAGCGUAGCUCAGCGGUAGAGCAGGGGACUCAUAAGCCCUUGGUCGGAAGUUCGAUUCUUCCCGCUGGCACCA